AUGAACGCUAGCGACAGGCCUAACACAUGCAAGUCGAGGGGCAUCGGGGCGUAGCAAUACGCUGCCGGCGACCGGCGGAUGGGUGAGUAACGCGUAUGCAACCUGCCUUCAGCAGGGGGAUAGCCCGUUGAAAGACGGAUUAAUACCCCGUAACACAGGGGCUCCGCAUGGAGAUUAUUGUUAAAGGGAUACUUCCUUCGGGGGGUAUUCCGGCUGAAGAUGGGCAUGCGUUCCAUUAGGUAGUUGGUUGAGGUAACGGCUCACCAAGCCUACGAUGGAUAGGGGAACUGAGAGGUUGGUCCCCCACACUGGUACUGAGACACGGACCAGACUCCUACGGGAGGCAGCAGUGAGGAAUCUUGGUCAAUGGACGGAAGUCUGAACCAGCCAUGUCGCGUGAAGGAGGACGGCCCUAAGGGUUGUAAACUUCUUUUGCAGCGGAAUAAAGUAUUCCACGAGGUGGGAUAUUGCAAGUACGCUGCGAAUAAGGAUCGGCUAACUCCGUG
rnacentral:rRNA from 1 species